AAAAUAACAAAUUUCCUGUGGUUUGUCGGCCUCUGUUGCCGGCAACCGCGGAGGGCUUCGGCUCACAUCUUGUGAACUGUACCGUCUUUGGUGGUGGGGUGGGCAUGGCAGUAUGCUGUGUGCCAUCUGUCAGCUUGGGCUGCAAGGUCCAGGCCGUGGACAAGCCACCGCAUGUUUUUACACAUAUUCUUUUUUCUUUGUCUGACAUUUUAACCUGUAUUAAUAUACAAA
rnacentral:misc_RNA from 1 species